UACGUAGGGGGCAAGCGUUGUCCGGAAUCAUUGGGCGUAAAGCGCACGUAGGCGGCCCGGUAAGUCCGCUCUGAAAGUCAGAGGCUCAACCUCUGGAGGCGAGUGGAUACUGCCGGGCUAGAGUCCGGAAGAGGCGACUGGAAUUCCUGGUGUAGCGGUGGAAUGCGCAGAUAUCAGGAGGAACACCGGUGGCGAAGGCGGGUCUCUGGGCAGUAACUGACGCUGAGGAGCGAAAGCGUGGGGAGCAAACAGG
rnacentral:rRNA from 1 species